UGUCUGAAGAAGGCCUUCGGGUUGUAAAGGACUUUUGUUAGGGAAGAAAAGCCGGGUGCUAAUACCACCUGGUGCUGACGGUACCUAAAGAAUAAGCACCGGCUAACUACGUGCCAGCAGCCGCGGUAAUACGUAGGGUGCGAGCGUUAAUCGGAAUUACUGGGCGUAAAGCGAGCGCAGACGGUUAAUUAAGUCAGAUGUGAAAUCCCCGAGCUCAACUUGGGACGUGCAUUUGAAACUGGUUAACUAGAGUGUGUCAGAGGGAGGUAGAAUUCCACGUGUAGCAGUGAAAUGCGUAGAGAUGUGGAGGAAUACCGAUGGCGAAGGCAGCCUCCUGGGAUAACACUGACGUUCAUGCUCGAAAGCGUGGGUAGCAAACAGGAUUAGAUACCCUGGUAGUCCACGCCCUAAACGAUGACAAUUAGCUGUUGGGACACUAGAUGUCUUAGUAGCGAAGCUAACGCGUGAAAUUGUCCGCCUGGGGAGUACGGUCGCAAGAUUAAAACUCAAAGGAAUUGACGGGGACCCGCACAAGCGGUGGAUGAUGUGGAUUAAUUCGAUGCAACGCGAAGAACCUUACCUGGUCUUGACAUGUACGGAAUCUCUUAGAGAUAGGAGAGUGCCUUCGGGAGCCGUAACACAGGUGCUGCAUGGCUGUCGUCAGCUCGUGUCGUGAGAUGUUGGGUUAAGUCCCGCAACGAGCGCAACCCUUGUCAUUAGUUGCCAUCAUUAAGUUGGGCACUCUAAUGAGACUGCCGGUGACAAACCGGAGGAAGGUGGGGAUGACGUCAAGUCCUCAUGGCCCUUAUGACCAGGGCUUCACACGUCAUACAAUGGUCGGUACAGAGGGUAGCGAAGCCGCGAGGUGAAGCCAAUCUCAGAAAGCCGAUCGUAGUCCGGAUUGCACUCUGCAACUCGAGUGCAUGAAGUCGGAAUCGCUAGUAAUCGCAGGUCAGCAUACUGCGGUGAAUACGUUCCCGGGUCUUGUACACACCGCCCGUCACACCAUGGGAGUGGGGGAUACCAGAAUUGGGUAGACUAACCGCAAGGAGGUCGCUU
rnacentral:rRNA from 1 species